AGUGAACGCUGGCGGUAGGCCUAACACAUGCAAGUCGAACGGCAGCACAGUAAGAGCUUGCUCUUACGGGUGGCGAGUGGCGGACGGGUGAGGAAUACUUCGGAAUCUACUUUUUCGUGGGGGAUAACGUAGGGAAACUUACGCUAAUACCGCAUACGACCUACGGGUGAAAGCAGGGGAUCUUCGGACCUUGCGCGAUUGAAUGAGCCGAUGUCGGAUUAGCUAGUUGGCGGGGUAAAGGCCCACCAAGGCGACGAUCCGUAGCUGGUCUGAGAGGAUGAUCAGCCACACUGGAACUGAGACACGGUCCAGACUCCUACGGGAGGCAGCAGUGGGGAAUUUUGGACAAUGGGCGCAAGCCUGAUCCAGCCAUACCGCGUGGGUGAAGAAGGCCUUCGGGUUGUAAAGCCCUUUUGUUGGGAAAGAAAAGCAGCAGGUUAAUACCCCGCUGUUCUGACGGUACCCAAAGAAUAAGCACCGGCUAACUUCGUG
rnacentral:rRNA from 1 species